CUUAUUCUUAAAUAUCCAUUAAGGAUGUAACUCUGACUCCUUUGGCCAUACAGUGUUCCUUGUUAUGCUCGGCAAAAGAAAAUAAUUAUAAAAAAGCAAAGUCAUUACAGUGAUCAAUUGCAGCUGGUUUUAUUAUUAAAAAGGAGUAAAUUAAGCAAAGAAGCCUCAUGAACUGUGUACAGUAAUCAUAGAUUGGAAACAUUUAAGAAGUAUAUACUGUACUUGCUAUGGCCUUAUGCAAAGCACUCCAUUAUUUCAUAAAGACUUCAGUCUGUGUUUUACUUUUGUGAAUUUCUCUCUAACAAUAGCAUGCCUAAACUUCAGAUGAGUUAUCAAAAAUUUAGGUUUAUGUAUGAAUAAAGAAGGAGGAGAAAAGUGUAGCUUUUGUUGGGUGGUCUUAGCAGAUCAGUUCUCCAGAUCCCUAAGAAGAUGUGAAUUAUCACAUGGGUUUGUUUGUUUGUUUGUUUGUUUUGUAACUGUGUGUUGGGAUUCUUAAUUUUUUCAGGAGACUCUCUUUGCUGGGUGUUGUAUCCCGGCACUAGGGAGUGCCAGUGUGAUGUGAAGAGAGAGGAUGCAGCACAGCAGGGCUUGGGACACCGGGGAGGGACAGAGGCAGAGACAGUGCCCCAGCUUUGUGUGCAGCUCCGUGUGUACCGGAGGGCUGGCUGCGUGCAUUCAUCAGGCAGCGCUGGAGGGGAUUUGGCUGGGAAAGAUGAGCCAUCUGUGCAGGCUGAUAUGGAGACAGAGGAGAAAGAAUAGACAGAAUGGUGAUUCUUCACCUUCUCCAGGCCUGUGUUGGGUGAUUUGAAGCCUGCUGAGCAAAGGCUUGUCUUAUCUUUGUCACCUGUCAUGGACAUCAGUGGAGUACUCUGUGGAGUGUGGUCUGAAAAUCACUAGGUACCUUAAAGAGUGGUGAUUAUGGUGAAGAAAAAGUUCAAAAACUGAAGGUUUUGGAUUCCUUUAGAGUGAUGAAGUAAUCUACAUUAUUUGUAGGCACUUGUUUUUAAUGCCAGACUUCCAUUUUUGCUCAGUUGUUAGAAAGGAAGAAAGCAGAAAAAGGAGUAUUUUGGGAAAAGCAGGCGAUGGUGGGAAGACUGACUAAUUCUUCUUCUAUUGGCUCCUGCAUAGCAAUUUUCCAAGCCAGCCAAGGAUGAGACAGCUUCGCUUUGCUGCAAUGUUGAUGCUCAGCUUUUUGCAAUAAAACUAGAUGUCAAACUGGAAAUCCACCUGUUCUACAAGCAGACUUCAGUUUUCAAAGGCAGUUUCUGCAGAGUGAGCUUGCAUGAGGACUGGACCCUGAAAGAAAUUUCUCAGCCUUGGCCUUUACCAAGGAAUAGUUUAGGUUUGGAGGCCUUUAAGACUCCAAUCUUUCUGCAGCACAAGCAGUGGACAUGGAGCUGAACUUGCUGUAGUUUAUGGCUUUACAGCACGUGCACAAACUCCAUUUCUACAAACUGGAGUCAUUGUAAUGGACAGAUGCUCUGGAGAGUUGAGGAUGGGAGAUUUGUUCCCAAGCUCACAGGAAAUAUCAAUUCGGCCCCAGAACUUGGUGAUCUAUAGGUCCUGCUAGUCUACCCUCAGCUCCCAAAACAGUUAAGUUAAAAGUUAAGCUACAUACUGGUUUCAGUGUCUUUUGUUCAUCUGUUGAUUAUUGUGGUUGGAUUUCUGCCCUUUGUGGCUGUUUUCUGGAGACUACUGAUAUGAAUGCAGCCAUUCUAGACAGAAGAUCAGGAAAAGCUUUUUAAAAUAAGCCCAUCUCUGACCCAUGUGCUGAUAAAAGGCUCAUGCAGUCACUGUGAAGAGUUGCAAUAAAAAAAUAUUAUAAAGGUAGCAGCAGGAGACAACAGGACAGGGACAAAGGCACACAAGGCAGGAGGAGGACUGCUGUGCCUUCUCUCUGCUGUAUUGUGCAGCAGUGGAAGCCAGCAGCUGCAGUGAGGUCUGGUAAUGCUAUUUGCUUUUCUGAGAUUUUUUUCCCCUCAACUUGCUGUUAUAACAACCCCACUGGGUUGUUACUGGACACUUUGAGGGCUAAGCUGGGGCAGAAAGUUGCCAGUCGAGGUCAGCCCUUGACCAAGGGUGCACCCUUGUGGCUGGCAGUGCUCUGUGAGGGCAGGAGACACACUGAUGAUGCAGGAGACACCUGAAGAAGCCUCACACUGGAGGGACCUGCAGUUCUGCCUAAGGAGGAGGUGCAAGGUGGCCAGUGGUGGGCUAAAAGUGCUAAUUCCAGGCUCGUGUGGCUGCGUGCUGCAGAGCAGGUAGGGCCCUGCAGGGCAGUGUGGGGUCCAUACAGGGCAGCAGCGGGUCUGACUCAGGCUGCUGCAGGGAUUGCACACAGCGCCUCUGAGGGCGAGCAGCACAGUCUGC